AGUGACAAACUAGUUACCUACCUAUGUGUAUAAUGUUAAGGGACAGCCAAGGAUAUAAAAGGUAACCUUACCAAGAGAGGUUAAUGAGAAAAUGCAUCCCUCUACCUACAUCUCCACUAUCUUCUGUCAAGCAUGGCCAUUGGCAUGAUAUUAAACACCUCCACUUAUUUAAAUGUGCUUAGGGAUUUAGGAUAGGGUGAAGGUAACUUUUUUUUUUGUGCAAAUAUUUUAAAAGGAAUCUCAGCCAGGACUUUAGAAGUGUGAACUAACUAAACCCUUUCUAUAAUUAGC